AAACCCCGCACCCAUGAAACCACAGCUCCCUAUUAUUUCCUUGUCCCCUCCCUGGCCCCUGGCGGCCAGUUUUACUCUUUGUCUCUGGGAAUGUGACUGCUCAGGGUUCCUCUUGUGAGUGGAACCAUACAGUAUUAGUCCUUUGGGGUCUGGCUUAUUUAUAUGUCCCCAAGGCUCAUUAUGUUGUAACGUGUCAGAUUUUCCACCCCUCGCCUUUUUUUGUUUUAGGAGCUCGUUUUCGUUUUUAUUUUUAACUAUGGUAAGAUACACAUAAGUUUUACCAUCUGAACCUUCUUUGAGUGUGCAGUUCACUAGUGUGAAGUAUAUUCCUCUUGUGCAGGGCAUCUCUGAACUCUCCCAUCUUGCAAAGCUGAAACUCCAUCCCGAUUCAGCCACAGCUCCUGCUCCCUGCUCCCGCCUGCCCCUGGCGGCCACCAUUGGAAUUGCUGUCUUCGGGAAUCGACAACUUUGGAUACCCCAUACUAACGCCUAGAGCCACACAGGGGAGCCCAGACCCAGGCCCCAAUCAUUAAGAAUCAGCGAUGGAAUUCCUGCAGAAAGUCCUGAAGAUACGGAAGAACAAGAGUUAGAGGUUUACAGCCAAAGCUCGUCUGGUGACUCAUUCGGUGGCUCAUUCCGUUAAGCCCCAGACUCUCGAUUCUGGCUCAGGUGACGAUCUCCGGAUGCUGAGACUGAGGCCCACGUGGUCUCCGCAUGCAGCGGGAGAUCUGCUUGGGUUCCCUUCCCUUUGCCCUUCCCGCCUGUUCACGCUGUCUCUCUCUCUCUCUCUCAAUAAAUAAAUAAAUAAAUCUUAAAAAAAAUAAAAUUAAAAACCCAACAACAACAAAGCAUUGUAGGUAAGAAACAGGGUGGCAAAGACAAAAGGCCAGCAGCAGGAUACAGAAUUUGGCCUUGGCCUGUAGUCUGGGAAAUGAGCAAGGCUGUCAUUAACCUAAGUCGUGGUAGUGUGGUAGUUGGGCCAAUACCAAUAUUAUGACCAUUGCUAAUCAGAAGAUGCUACUAUGGCAGGGCUGGAGGGCCUCUCGGGGUCUGGGACUGCCUCGUAGGUACGUGAAACCUGGACGUCCGGCAGGACAACAGGGUUCUUGAGAGACAGAGCAGAGCCACCGCAGGAGAACUUUCAGGUCUUGGAAGAAAGAUGUAUAAUAAAAACCAGGAAGCACUCUGCCAACAGCACUGCCCCCCACGGCAGCUGGUGGCCCGGGCUGUUGGUCUCCACAGCUGAGUCAGAGCUUGGGUUAGAGGACAGGAGCCUGUCCAGGUCCUUGCUUUAUACCUGAAGGUCUCUCACUGCUAGAACGCUCCAGCCUGACUGGGCCCUGGGGAAUGUGGGCAGGAGAAGGCGGGCACCCCCAGCCUGGGCAGUGGUUAUGUCACUUCCAUCCAUCUACAGGCACCCUGAUUUGCCCCCAGGGAACCCUCAGGCAUGUUUGGAGGGUUUUCAGACUUCAGUAAAGAUCAACAAAUGCUUUAUUGAUACGGGGUUGGCACAUCACCUCAGUAUCCCUCUCACAGGAGGACAUAGAGCAAAUCUGCCAUUACCGUGGGUGAUGACAGAGACCAGUGUCGCUGGGCCCGUGUGGGACCUCUGUUUCCUCAUGACUCUGUGGGCCAUGGACUAGUGAGGCCAAGGAUACACACGCCAGGCCUGAGCUCAAAUUCAAGUUUGAUUUAGAUCUGUAAAAUGUUGGGGAAAGUAUUUAAUCUCCCCAAGCCUCAGCGGACCCACAGAAUAAGGUAGAGAACAUCAUAGUCACCAAAAAUUUCUUUUGGGGGAGAAUACGUGGAAUUUGUGUGGAAGAGGCGCUUUGUGGUCAGGUGUGAACCCUCAAAAAAAAAAAAAAAUCUGUCCAGGGAAACUGCCUUCUGAAGAGGAGGGGUCUGGUUAAGGGGAAGCCGAGUUGUCUGUCAAGCCAGCAGAACAACCGGGCAUGUCAGUACAUAAGACACAUUU